rnacentral:rRNA from 1 species
CCUACGGGUGGCAGCAGUGGGGAAUAUUGGACAAUGGGCGAAAGCCUGAUCCAGCCAUGCCGCGUGUGUGAAGAAGGCCUUCGGGUUGUAAAGCACUUUCAGUGGGGAAGAAAGCCUUGGGUCUAAUACCCUCGAGGAAGGACAUCACCCACAGAAGAAGCACCGGCUAACUCCGUGCCAGCAGCCGCGGUAAUACGGAGGGUGCGAGCGUUAAUCGGAAUUACUGGGCGUAAAGCGCGCGUAGGCGGUCUGAUAAGCCGGUUGUGAAAGCCCCGGGCUCAACCUGGGAACGGCAUCCGGAACUGUCAGGCUAGAGUGAAGGAGAGGAAGGUAGAAUUCCCGGUGUAGCGGUGAAAUGCGUAGAGAUCGGGAGGAAUACCAGUGGAGAAGGCGGCCUUCUGGACUGACACUGACGCUGAGGUGCGAAAGCGUGGGUAGCAAACAGGAUUAGAUACCCCAGUAGUC